rnacentral:lncRNA from 1 species
AGAAUAGUAGGAUUGAGAGAGGCCAGGCCGCCAGGGUUUCAAGAAAAAGGGACAGUGGGUAUUGAGAGGAGGUGAAGAUAGUAGAAGAGGAGGCACAUAUUUUAAUGGAAAACAACUAAAGCUUUGGGGGAAGGGGAGACAUAUACAGCAGAAAUAUUUGAACUAAGCCACGUGACUUUUGGUUCUGGUGAGUGGAAGGACAAUAAAAUACUACUAGUAAUGUGAAAAGGGCAACUGCUCAGGCCUCAGAGCCUCAGCUGAAAAAAGUAG